UCAAAGCUACAUGAUUAGACGCACAGUUCACCCACUGCCAACAUUUCUCAUGAAGAGGACCCGGGUUCAAUUCUCAGCACCCCCAUCAGCUCACAGCUGUAAGGCCGGUUCUAUAGGGCCAGGCCCCCUCUUCCGGCUUCCUAGGAACUCCUGCAAGCACAACGCACAUUCACCAUUCACAGGAACUUUUUCUUUUUCAAUUAUGAAAACUUCUCUAGAUCCCCUCUGACUUGUGGCUGGCUUAUCAUCAAGCAGUGGCCCAGCAGUGGGAGUGGGGAAGGGCCGCACAGCUGGGCGAGUGGGCCCUAGGAGGAGGUGGUACCUGGCUCUAAAGACGAUGGCCUGGCUGCGGGCGCUGGAGCCCGGCUGCUGGAGCUGCCCGCGCGCCCGCCCGGGGACCCGCACAGGCCCCGCGCCCAGUGUUCGUGCGCCCUGGGCUGCCCUGGCGCCAGGACACCCGCACGAGCCGCCGAUGUCCGUGGGGCUGCUGAUGCCCGAGCCGGAGCACUGCUCUCGGACCCGUGGUGCCUGGCCGUGGGGACCUCCUACGUUAGCGUCUACGACCACCAAGGUGUCUUCAAGAAAAAGAAAUCCAUGCUGACGGCGGACCUUUUCGAAAGACCGCGGGAACUUCGGGGCUUAGAUUGUUCCAGGUGCUCAGCAGAGCGGGCAGAGGGUGUAAAGUUGCCGGUAGGCGGUGCAGGUUCGCCAGGGGACAGAGAGUAGUGAGAGCUGCCCAGGACGCCUGGCCAGUUGGUGGCGCAGCAGCAAAGGCGAGCCACGGUGGGCAGCUCUGCUUGGAGCCCAGGGCUUCCCCGCUGUGGAGUUUGGUUCUGUGCACAGCGCUUUAGGCUUUCUCCCCUGGCAGAUGGAACCGGCUGAGACUGUCUCCUUGCCUUCUCACCUGAACGUCAGUUACUGGGACGACUUCUCCGACCUUUGUCGGUACGCAGCGAGGGAACCGCGUCUGGGAAGGCAGUGGUCCCUGCUGGCGUGAUUUGCUUCAAGCUUUUGGAACACAGGACCCGAUGGUUCAGGUGUUUACAAAAUACCUACAAAACGCUGUGCGCCCCUACUUCACAGUCCUCAAAAUUUAUCAGCAGACACAAACGGUGUCUUACUUGAGAGUGCACGUGUAUGCUUGGAAAGACUCGGGAAGGAGGCAGUAGAGAAUGGAGUAGAUGUCAGCUUGGAGUGUAUAAAGAAGUUGGGGGGUCUGAACUCCAUUCUGAAGCCUGGUUGUGGACUGCUUCUAACUGACUGGUUAUUGCUUGAAGUCUGUGAAUAUUAAAUUCUGAUAAAUUGUGACUGACUCUUAAAUGCCUGUUUCUGACAAGAAAAGUGCUAUAAUAUUAUAAUGAACAGUGCCAAAUGAAUUGUUCAUAUCUAUAAUUCACUCCUUGAAUGCAUAUUAAUUAGCUCCUCCCAUCUGGGUGAUGGUUCCAUUCUUAGAAUGGUGAAGUAUGAGUUUGGUAUGAGUGGAGAUUUUGACAACAUGAAAACAAUGUGUAAAGCAUAUUUUUAUGAUUAAGGAAUCAAUUGGAUUACAUUUUAUUAAUAGAAGUUGAAGCAUGCAUGAGAUAAAAAUCAAUAAAAGAAUACACUCUUUUCAUUG